rnacentral:rRNA from 1 species
UACGUAGGGUGCAAGCGUUGUCCGGAAUUAUUGGGCGUAAAGAGCUCGUAGGCGGUUCGUCGCGUCGGCUGUGAAAUCCCGGAGCUCAACUCCGGGUCUGCAGUCGAUACGGGCGGACUUGAGUACUGCAGGGGAGACUGGAAUUCCUGGUGUAGCGGUGAAAUGCGCAGAUAUCAGGAGGAACACCGGUGGCGAAGGCGGGUCUCUGGGCAGUAACUGACGCUGAGGAGCGAAAGCGUGGGGAGCGAACAGGAUU